rnacentral:rRNA from 1 species
CCUACGGGAGGCAGCAGUGAGGAAUAUUGGUCAAUGGGCGUAAGCCUGAACCAGCCAAGUCGCGUGCGGGUUGAAGGUUCUAUGGAUCGUAAACCUCUUUUAUAAGGGAAUAAAGUGCGGGACGUGUCCCGUUUUGUAUGUACCUUAUGAAUAAGGAUCGGCUAACUCCGUGCCAGCAGCCGCGGUAAUACGGAGGAUCCGAGCGUUAUCCGGAUUUAUUGGGUUUAAGGGGUGCGUAGGCGGCCUUUUAAGUCAGCGGGGAAAGUCUGUGGCUCAACCAUAGAAUUGCCGUUGAAACUGGGAGGAUUGAGGAUGUUUGAGGCAGGCGGAAUGCGUGGGGUAGCGGUGAAAUGCGUAGAUAUCACGCAGAACCCCGAUUGCGAAGGCAGCCUGCCAAGCCAUGACUGACGCUGAUGCACGAAAGCGUGGGGAUCAAACAGGAUUAGAUACCCCAGUAGUC